UACAGAGGUCUCAAGCGUUGUUCGGAUUCAUUGGGCGUAAAGGGUGCGUAGGCGGCGCGGUAAGUCGGGUGUGAAAUCUCGGGGCUUAACUCCGAAACUGCAUUCGAUACUGCCGUGCUUGAGGACUGGAGAGGAGACGUGGAAUUUACGGUGUAGCGGUGAAAAUGCGUAGAUAUCGUAAGGAAGACCAGUGGCGAAGGCGG
rnacentral:rRNA from 1 species